GAUGAAGAACGUAGCGAAAUGCGAUACGUAAUGUGAAUUGCAGAAUUCAGUGAAUCAUCGAAUCUUUGGACGCAUAUUGCGCUCUCUGGUAUUCCGGAGAGCAUGCUUGUUUGAGUAUCAGUAAACACCUCAACUUCCAUAUCUUUUUUGAAAUGGGAGUUGGACUUGAGUGAUCCCAACGCUUUUCCUCACCGAAAAGUGGCGGGUUACUUGAAAUGCAGGUGCAGCUGGACUUUUCUCUGAGCUAUAAGCAUAUCUAUUUAGUCUGCCUAAAAAACAGAUUAUUACCUUUGCUGCAGCUAACAUAAAGGAGAUUAGUUCUUGUGCUGACUGAUGCAGGAUUCACAAAGACAGGCUUCGGCCGACUUUGUAAACUCGAUCUCAAAUCAAGUAAGACUACCCGCUGAACUUAAGCAUAUCAAUAAGCGGAGGA
rnacentral:misc_RNA from 1 species